AUUGAACGCUGGCGGCAGGCCUAACACAUGCAAGUCGAACGAGUGGCGGACGGGUGAGUAAUGUCUGGGAAACUGCCUGAUGGAGGGGGAUAACUACUGGAAACGGUAGCUAAUACCGCAUACCAUCGGAUGUGCCCAUAUGGGAUUAGCUAGUAGGUGGGGUAAAGGCUCACCAAGGCGACGAUCCCUAGCUGGUCUGAGAGGAUGACCAGCCACACUGGAACUGAGACACGGUCCAGACUCCUACGGGAGGCAGCAGUGGGGAAUAUUGCACAAUGGGCGCAAGCCUGAUCCAGCCAUGCCGCGUGUAUGAAGAAGGCCUUCGGAUUGUAAAGUACUUUAAGUUGGGAGGCGUUACCCGCAGAAGAAGCACCGGCUAACUCCGUGCCAGCAGCCGCGGUAAUAC
rnacentral:rRNA from 1 species